rnacentral:rRNA from 1 species
UACGUAGGGGGCAAGCGUUAUCCGGAUUUACUGGGUGUAAAGGGAGCGCAGGUGGCAAGGCAAGCCAGAAGUGAAAACCCGGGGCUUAACCCCGUGGAUUGCUUUUGGAACUGUCUGGCUAGAGUGCAGGAGGGGCAGGCGGAAUUCCUAGUGUAGCGGUGAAAUGCGUAGAUAUUAGGAGGAACACCGGUGGCGAAGGCGGCCUGCUGGACUGUAACUGACACUGAGGCUCGAAAGCGUGGGGAGCAAACAGG